rnacentral:rRNA from 1 species
GACGAACGCUGGCGGCGUGCCUAAUACAUGCAAGUCGAACGCAGUGGGGACGGGUGAGUAACAAGUGGGUAACCUCCCAUCAGAGGGGAUAACACUUGGAAACAGGUGCUAAACCGAUACUGAUGGAUGGAGCCGCGGUGCAUUAGCUAGUUGGUGAGGUAGCGGCUAACCAAGGCCACGAUGCAUAGCCGGUCUGAGAUGGGGAUGGGCCACACUGGGACUGAGACACGGCCCAGACUCCUACGGGAGGCAGCAGGAGGGAAUUGUCGGCAAUGGACGAAAGUCUGACCGAGCAACGCCGCGUGAAUGAAGAAGGUUUUCGGAUCGUAAAACUCUGUUGGUAGAGAAGCGGUAUCUAACCAGAAAGCCACGGCUAACUACGUGCCAGCAGCCGCGGUAAUAC